rnacentral:lncRNA from 1 species
GCAACGACAUUUUGCUCUUGGUUUGAUCUGUGGUCUUCUAAUGCACGUCCCCUUUUGUUUUUUUCCAUCGCAGCCUCGCAAAAGUACACUCCAGAACCUGCUGGCAGCUCAGAGACCGAUGCAGAAAAAAACACGGUUUACGCCCAAGUCGGCAAUUUGCCACUGUCUCACAGUAGAACGGGGACUCCGAAAGCGAGCCCGGAGACCAAGAAGGAUGAGACAAAAACUAUCUAUUCCAAGGUCCAUUACCCAAACCAGUCGCCUCCGCAAACGGAUGAUGAGAAGUUGUCCAGGGACGGCCUGGAGUCCACGGAGAAGAGCGAGAGAACCAUUUAUGCCACAGUCAACCAGCCAACCCAGACAAAGCCCGCCAAGUCCACAGAUGCUGCUGAUUCUGCGGUCACUCCAAAAUCUCAAGGGCCAUCAGAAUACGACAAGAUCAUCUAAGAGCUUGUCAAGGCAACACAAACAUGCAGCGAGAAUCAAGGAAUAAUUCAGUACUCCAGCAUCAGACACCCAAACAGCAGAGGAGCAAUGCGUAUAAUUUGUACAGCGCCAUGCACCAUAGGGUCCUUGUCCCUGACUGGGCUCCCAUCCGCUACUGCAAUUGUAAUUUGGACAGACCCCGGUCCUUGGCGGGCUUAAAGCAUGAGCCGCUACCUCAUGAACUAAAAGCCAACUGCGUGUUAGCUAAGGCGACAGAGAAGACUCAUUAACGGUUCUCUCGCUAAGUGGUUUCAGUGCUGCUAGAUGGGACAGACCACACCCAGACAGUGUGUGGUUACACAAUGCAAAUCAAAACAACAAACAAGGCAUGUAGCGUGAAAUUCACCUCCGUGCUUGCCCCUUACCCAAGAGCUUUGCCCCCCUUAAAACACUCUUCAUCUUUAAGGCUGGGGUAAAGUAUCUCUAGACCUUGGUGACAAACACAGGAUCAAAACUCGGUAUUAGUGUACAUAGCUCAGGCGCAUAAUCUUUUUUGCUGCUGAAUUUUCUAGGUUCCCCCAUCAAGGGAAAAAAAUGAAGUCUUGAUUCUCUGUUACAUUAAGGCCCCUUGACGGUGCUCUGGCAGUGUUCAGACGCCUUAAAAAGGAGUUACCCCCCACUUUCAGGUACCUGGAACCUGUCAGGCCUGUGUAAAAUGAUCUGCAACGCGGUGAGACCUGGGCCCUAAGUAUCUAUAACUUGGGCAAAUCCAAAGCACUUUUCUUUCACUGGAUGGCAUCUCUCGUUGCCCAGCGACACGCCAAUGAUCCGCUCCAAACAGCCAGCGCUGGUCAAACAAAUAAAUGAUCAAGUUUACUCCCGCCCUACCUCA